CAGAGGGCACGGGAGGAAACCACAUCCUUCAGGCCUGUAAACCGCAGACAGCUGGGCAGCAUGAGGUGGGGGGUGGGAGGGGUGUUACAUCUGAUGGGUUUGCAUUGACCACGUGGAUGGAGUUGGGCAUUCUGCCUGACAUGUUGGACCUUGUGACAUGCGUGCACCACAAUCAAAAUGUGUACCCACCCACAUGUUCCAACCCCUGGCCCUGUGCGUCUCUGCUCCUGUCUCCACGCCAUAGACUUCCUGCAGGUCUAUCCCCAGAAGCCACAGUGUUGAGAUUCCUCGUCUACACUCCCUCUGAUUUCUCUUUAAGAAAGAGAGCAGGUAUCUGUAACACUUGCUGGGGCAGGAAGACCAUGGAGCCUUGAGGAGAAGAAAACCAAGGCAACCAAAGCAAAAAAAGUUGGCUCUGUUUUCAGAGAAGCCUGAGAAUAAAAGUGUGACUGUAAAGCAAACAAACAAACCAAAGCUGGAAGCCGCAGUCCCACACUCGGCUGGAAUGGAGGAUUCCUCCUGCACGCUAACUUCUCAGCAACUGACUUUGGAUGGAAGUCCUGGCUGGGGAAGUGAUUCCAUCGUGGUGUUCCUUUCAACUCCAACUGACCACUUCCCAUCCCUUUAGCUGUGAGGAAGAACCAAACGUUCCCUAGCUCAACAUUUUCAGAAGGGCAUGUUCCAGUCUCCUCCUAAAACAGACUCGAGAAACAGGCCAAGUAGCAGCCUUGGCUUAACCAGCAUAGGCUCACACAAGGACAGGAAAUUCAUCUGGGCUGCUGACAUUCUGAAUAGCUGCCACCUUCGAUGCCAGGAGAGGAGGUAAAAACUACAGAAUUCAGGUGACAGAAUCUCAUUAAACACACAACCAUUCAGAGUAUCAGGCAUGAAAUCCUGGAGUCUUCCCUGAUUGCAUAGUGCUCUUAAAAGCCCGGACAGUCAAAAGGCGUGACCAAGCCUCAGGGGGCAGAGGCUGCUCAGUGCCAAGGCCUCCUGCCCUCCAGCCCAGCUUGCCUCUGCUCACUCGAUAUAGGCUUAUCUGUCACUCGGGGUCAAAUGGAAACUUCCAAGCCGCCGUGUGCUCAUACACAUGGGCUGUGUCGUAUCAAUGACGUGCCUCCCUUGGAAAACAAAACACCGUCCCUCACAGUUGUCCCCUUGUGCGUAGACAGUGGCAAAUGCUUAUUUGCUAAACCUCCCGUCUCCUUCAUUUCUGGGUCCCAUUGAGAUCAUGGAAACACAAAGUAAAUACCCACAGAAGAAAAAAAAUGGCCCUGAGAGUAUUUAUUUAAGAGUAUUGUUCCAGGAUAUGCACAAAGAUAAAGACUGUGUAAUGAAUGGCGACUCCGGAGGCCAAGCACCAAGACGUUCUAUCCUGUACCAGCAGUUACCCUGGCCAGGAAGAGGCCGUGUGCUACCUCAGGACAUGCCCUUAUAAAAGAGUCACCUUGCCAAGCUGCCAACUGGUUCUCUUUACCCUAGAGGAUCAAGGGAAAGAACAAAGGGAGGAGGCAGGUGUGAUCUGAUCCAUUCACAGCCACAGGAGUAUACAGACAGGCAGGGACUUUUUUCCUGGAGAAGGGACAACAGAUGGUGUCAGAGAAGAACAUUAGUAUUAUGCCAUACCUACAGAUUCCAGAGAGCCCAGGUAGGGCUGUGGGUCUGUGAAACACUAGUAUCUAGUAGCUAGCUCUCUCAGGAAUGUGGGGCAGGGGGAUUCCGGCCUUGUAGAAGCCGCAUGGCAGGAAAACAGGUCUCCACUGGGUUCAGGUGUCUCUAAGACUCAGAGAAAGGUCUCUAAGACCCAGAGAAAGGUUCAUUUAACUUCCAAUGCUCCCCCCCCCCCCACACACACACGGAAACCUCGAAUGAAGGGACAGCAAUUUGGAAGCAAGUCAAAUGAAAUACAGAGCGGAAACCCACUCACGUCUCUGCAUGCUUAAUGAUCAUUGACUUUUAAAAUGGGUUUUGAAAUAAAAAGCCUUCUGGAAGAAAUGCAGAUUUGAAGGGAUUACUAGAAAGCACGGAUCGAGUACCCUGCUGUCUGCAUUAAUUCCUCCAUAGGUGGGAACUCUGCCGGCCUCCUGAUUUCCUAUGUUCGCGUAUCUGCAGUCCAAUUAUUAGACGGCAAAAAGCCAUAGAGGCCCCUGGAUGGGCCUAGGAGCAGAUUUUUCAUAAACAGACCUGUUGGUUCACCCUUAGCUCAUGAAGCCGCUGCUUAAGGAGACUGUGAGAAAUACAGUCAGACAAGACAGGGCACUGGCAGCUUCCUGCUUCACAUAACAUGUUCAUCCAAGCACACCCAACUGAUGUGGGACACUUUCUGUUCUUUCUCUGACUUCACAUCUUUACCAGAUGGAGUGGAUUAGACUCCCUGUUUCCUCAAAGCACAACUGGGCCAAUGCUGGCUGGCUAGCAAGCUCUUGGAAUUCACCUGUUUUCAUCCCCACCUAAUCCUGGGGUUGUAGGCACAGGCAGCCAUGCCUGGAGUUUUACAUGAGUGCUGGAGACUUGAACUCAGACUUUGCUUGCAAAACCAAAGAUCUUAUCCACGGAGCCACCUAUCAGACUCCUAUAUAUGGAGUCUCUGAGAGCUAGCCUGGUAUGCUGGUGCACUCUGCAAUUCUAGGACUGACAGGUUGGGGCAGGAGAAUCUUGAGUUGGAGGCCAGUGAGACACUGUCUCAAAAAAACAAGGGCUGGGCCUGUGACUCAGUGGUAGAAUAUUUGCUUUGAAGUGUGCAUCCAAGCCGAUAGAUUCUGCUGCUUCUGCCUUUCCCCCUCGUCUCCUCUUCUCUUGCCUUCUUCUCUUUUGACUCCUCUAUGUGUAUGUGUUUAUUUUAGGAUAG